CCUACGGGUGGCAGCAGUGGGGGAUAUUGCACAAUGGGCGAAACCCUGAUGCAGCGACGCCGCGUGUGGGAAGACGGUCCUCUGGAUUGUAAACCACUGUUCCCAGGGACGAAGAUGACGGUACCUGGGGAGGAAGCUCCGGCCAACUACGUGCCAGCAGCCGCGGUAAUACGUAGGGAGCGAGCGUUGUCCGGAAUUACUGGGUGUAAAGGGAGCGUAGGCGGGGAGGCAAGUUGGGUGUCAAAACGACCGGCUCAACUGGUAGUCGCACUCGAAACUGGAGCUCGUGAGUGGAGGAGAGGGAGGCGGAAUGCGUGGUGUAGCGGUGAAAUGCAUAGAUAUUAGGAAGAACGCCGAUGGCGAAGGCAGCAUACUGGGGUUUAACUGACGCUGAGGCACGAAAGUGUGGGGAGCGAACAGGAUUAGAUACCCGAGUAGUC
rnacentral:rRNA from 1 species